GAUGAACGCUAGCGGCAGGCUUAAUACAUGCAAGUCGAGGGGCAGCAGGACGGUAGCAAUACCGUUGCUGGCGACCGGGAAACGGGUGCGGCACUCGUACGCAACUUACCCAUAACUGGGGGCUAGCCCGGGGAAACCCGGAGUAAUACCCCGUAACAUCAUGAAGUGGCCUCGCUCUAUGAUUAUAGCUCCGGCGGUUAUGGAUGGGCGUGCGCCUGAGUAGGUAGUUGGCAGGGUAACGGCCUACCAAGCCGACGAACAGUAACUGGAGGGAGAGCACGACCAGUCACACGGGCACUGAGACACGGGCCCGACUCCUACGAGAGGCAGCAGUAAGGAAUAUUGGUCAAUGGACGCAAGUCUGAACCAGCCAUGCCGCGUGAAGGAUGAAGGUCCUCUGGAUUGUAAACUUCUUUUAUAUGGGACGAAACCCGGGCAUUCCUGCCCGAUUGACGGUACCAUAGGAAUAAGCACCGGCUAACUCCGUGCCAGCCGCCGCGGUAAAAC
rnacentral:rRNA from 1 species